rnacentral:rRNA from 1 species
UACGAAGGUGGCAAGCGUUGUUCGGAUUUACUGGGCGUACAGGGAGCGUAGGCGGUUGGGUAAGCCCUCCGUGAAAUCUCCGGGCCUAACCCGGAAAGUGCGGAGGGGACUGCUCGGCUAGAGGAUGGGAGAGGAGCGCGGAAUUCCCGGUGUAGCGGUGAAAUGCGUAGAGAUCGGGAGGAACACCAGUGGCGAAAGCGGCUCUCUGGUUCACACCUGACGCUGAGGGGCGAAAGCGUGGGGAGCGAACGGG